GAUGAACGCUAGCUACAGGCUUAACACAUGCAAGUCGAGGGGUAACGAGAGGAAAGCUUGCUUUCCUUGUCGACGACCGGCGCACGGGUGAGUAACGCGUAUCCAACCUGCCCCCAACUAGGGAAUAACCUUGCGAAAGUAAGACUAAUACCCUAUAAUUUCCUCAGAUGUCAUCUGACGAGGAAUAAAGAUUUAUCGGUUGUGGAUGGGGAUGCGUCUGAUUAGCUUGUUGGCGGGGUAACGGCCCACCAAGGCAACGAUCAGUAGGGGUUCAGAGAGGAAGGUCCCUCACAUUGUAACGGAGACACGGUCCAAACUCCUACGGGAGGCAGCAGUGCGGAAUAUUGGUCAAUGGGCGGGAGCCUGAGCCAGCCAAGUAGCGUGCAGGAUGACGGCCCUAUGGGUUGUAAACUGCUUUUAUACAGGAAUAAAGUUAGCCACGUGUGGUUAUUUGUAGGUACUGUAUGAAUAAGGACCGGCUAAUUCCGUGCCAGCAGCCGCGGUAA
rnacentral:rRNA from 1 species